rnacentral:lncRNA from 1 species
UUAUUUUAAUAGAUUAAUCGUUCAACUCGUCUUUCCCAAUCACACUCGUCAAUCUUAAUAUCCAAGAAACCAUAAACCACCGUGAACCCUAACCCAUAACCCAAAAAUCAUCUUCUCUCCAAGAACCUUAAUCCAAUAACCCACGAAUUUAACCGUCAGUAGUCGUACUCGUUCGUUGCCGUGCUUUCACAACUCAAACUGCCG